AUACGUUGGGUGUGAGCGUUGUCCGGAAUUACUGGGAGUAAGGAGCUCGUAGGUGGUUUGUUGCGUCGUCUGUGAAAUUCCUGGGCUUAACUCCGGGCGUGCAGGCGAUACGAGCAUAACUUGAGUACUGUAGGGGAGACUGGAAUUCCUGGUGUAGCGGUGAAAUGCGCAGAUAUCAGGAGGAACACCGGCGGCGAAGGCGGGUCUCUGGGCAGUAACUGACGCUGAGGAGCGAAAGCAUGGGUAGCGAACAGGAUUAGAUACCCUGGUAGUCCAUGCCGUAAACGGUGGGCGCUAGGUGUAGGGGUCUUCCACGACUUCUGUGCCGUAGCUAACGCAUUAAGCGCCCCGCCUGGGGAGUACGGCCGCAAGGCUAAAACUCAAAUGAAUUGACGGGG
rnacentral:rRNA from 1 species